UACCUAGCCGCGGGAGGCAGAGAGCAGAAGGGGCAGAGGCGGGGAUGGCGGGGGAGUGCACACUGCACUUUCGAGAAGGAGUGAGAAACAGGGCUGCUGCUUGGGAGACUCGGAGCCAACAGGGGUUGUACUUUUGUCCUUUUUAGUGAAAGACAUUAAAUCCUACACUGAUCAAAAACCUAAGUUCCACGCCUUAGUUCCCCUUAACUCACUCACCCCUUCCAUCUAUGACAGACAGUCAUCUGGAGUGAAGUCUAAGAGUCACAAAGAUGUUAUCUCAACCGUGGCUCAGCAUUCAAACAAGGAUUCUAAUCUUUCAGGGCUCCAGAUGGGAAACAGAUUGCUGAGAAUUAUCAGUUUUAUUUGAAGAGUGCAGAGAGGCGAUUUGUACAAAUGGGUAUGACUGGGUUUUCCUUGGGCGGAGAAGAGCCGGCUGGCCUGCUGAGAAGCUGGCUUCCUACUCCGGUGGACGCCAUGCUGGAAAGGGUCAGCUUCCUGUAGUAAGAGAAGCUAAGAGGUCAGGGGCCAGAGGGACCUUCAGGGGUCCCCUGCGGCUGUGGCCUCUGCAGAGGGGGGCUCAGGGAGGCCUGGAGUGAGGGCUAGAGAAAGCCCAUGGCCCGGGGUCUUCCAGCCCAGCCCAGGGAGCACUCCAGGUAAGGCAAGGCCUCACCACCCUCCAAGUCCUCAGCACUAGGAGCCCACCAAGAGCCAACUCUGCCCUGGAGGCCCCGGACACUGGAGCGAGGUGCCCCCAGCCCUACAGCUUCAGAUCCCAGAUCUCAGUCCCCUACAAAGCAUGCAGUCCCUCACCUCAGCAGGGAAAAUGAGCUAGCAGAGAACUCCAACACCCAGACAUCGCCCUACAAAGAACUUUAAAGAAGUAAAAAGCAAAAAACAUAUUAUGUUACAUUAUGCUAGACAGUACUAUCAUUAUACAUCAUAUGUAUAAUUAUACAUGUCCAUAUAUAAUAUAUACACGUAUGUAUGUAUAUAUUAUACAUGAUCUACAUCUACGGUCAUCUAACACUGCACUGUAUAUAAAGGAAUCUAUUUUUUUUAAGUGCGUGGUGCACAUCUGGCUGUGAGCUCACCACACGUGCAGGUAUCUGACCCCAGGCUCCUCUCCAGGACUCCUCGGCACCGGCAGAAAGGCCCCAAGUGCCGCAGCUCCAAGCCCGGCCCUCCCACUCAGGCUGGGCUCAGGGUUGAGAAUUCCACCCGCCACUCCAACGCUGCCAAGUCUUAUCUCUGCCACAUUUCUCAAUGUGACAUUGCACAAUUCUUUUGGACAACCUUGACUUUCCGUGGUGCUCACUGCUAAUUUUAACUACCUGAUGUUUCCCCACAAAGUAAAUAUGAGGUGUUCAUGCCACCACCAUGGCAGCGUUCCAGUCACUCUGCAAAUUCGGCCAGUUUCGGUCAUGACAACGACAUGAAACACAACAACCCAGGCGUGAGGACAGCCACCCUUGGGAUUUAUCUCCACUGGGGAUGAAACCAGGCCGCCCUCCUCCAGGGCUGCCAAACACAGCUCCCAUGAACGACCAGGUCAAGCACGUUGUCCUUGGGUCCAGAGACAGACCAGGCAGCCCACGCUGCGUGUGGUCUUACCCUACGGUCCAGAGACUGCAGGGAUGUGGCGGGGGGGCCUGGGGAGGAUCUUUCCUGGACACACAUAAACAACACCUAAAUUGUUUUGUUUUGUUUUGUUUGAGACUGGGUCUCACUCUGUCACCCGGGCUGGAGUG
rnacentral:lncRNA from 10 species